rfam:Salmo salar isolate Sally breed double haploid chromosome ssa16, whole genome shotgun sequence.
UAUUCACUCUACUGUAAGUCGCUCUGGAUAAGAGCGUCUGCUAAAUGACUAAAA